UUAGAUACCCUUGUAGUCCACGCUGUAAACGAUCGAUACUAGGUGUGCGGGGACUGACCCCCUGCGUGCCGGAGUUAACACAAUAAGUAUCGCACCUGGGGAGUACGAUCGCAAGGUUGAAACUCAAAGGAAUUGACGGGGGCCCGCACAAGCGGUGGAUUAUGUGGUUUAAUUCGAAGCAACGCGAAGAACCUUACCAGGGCUUGACAUCCUACUAACGAAGUAGAGAUACAUUAGGUGCCCUUCGGGGAAAGUAGAGACAGGUGGUGCAUGGUUGUCGUCAGCUCGUGUCGUGAGAUGUUGGGUUAAGUCCCGCAACGAGCGCAACCCCUAUUGUUAGUUGCUACGCAAGAGCACUCUAGCGAGACUGCCGUUGACAAAACGGAGGAAGGCGGNGACGACGUCAAAUCAUCAUGCCCCUUAUGUCCUGNGCUACACACGUAAUACAAUGGCGGUUAACAAAGGGAUGCAAAGCCGCGAGGCAGAGCGAACCCCANAAAGCCGUCCCAGUUCGGAUCGCANGCUGCAACCCGCCUACGUGAAGUCGGAAUCGCUAGUAAUCGCGGAUCAGCUGCCCGCGGUGAAUACGUUUCCGGGCCUUGUACACACCGCCCGUCACACCAUGANAAUCCGGACACCCCGAGUCCGUANCCUAACCGCAAGGAGGCGCGGCCGAAAGUGGUUCGAUAUUGGGGUGAAGUCGUACAAGGU
rnacentral:rRNA from 1 species